UUGGGGGUCGUUCAACGGUAGGACGGCAGACUCUGGAUCUGUCAAUCAUGGUUCGAAUCCAUGCCCCCAAG
rnacentral:tRNA from 1 species